CAACGUGAGUGACCUGCCCUGGAGUGGGGAAUAACUCUGCGAAAGCAGAGCUAAUACCGCAUUCGCUUACUUCAUCAUCGGAGUAAGUAAAGCUUUAUGCGCUUCAGGAGGGGCUUGCGGCCGAUUAGCUAGUCGGUGGGGUAAUGGCCUACCGAGGCACCGAUCGGUAGCUGGUCUGAGAGGACGGACGGCCACACUGGAACUGAGACACGGUCCAG
rnacentral:rRNA from 1 species